UCUUCCACAAAAGAUGAGAUCUGGGACGUUCUGUGCAGCAUUCAGCUGAUCCCUCAGUCCAUUUGGAUUUGUCCUAACAACCAGUACUUUGUGCCUAAAAUGGCCCAAGGCAACCACUUCCUUCACCCUUGCUAUUCUUCACUGUCAACUCAGGAUAUUGCCAAAGGCUCCUUGGACCUUUAAAGGCCACCAGGAUGAGGCAAGAAGCCAAGAAGGUUCCUUUCGGCCUUAUAUAAUGGAUGUCUUGAACUCGGCUCCUCAAACUGCGCAGUGUGUUCUUGUCUGCCCUGAAAGCCUGCAGUUCCUCAGCUGCUAGCCUUCCAAAGCUGUCUCUCCAUACAAAAGGCAUUCCAAUGGAGCAGAGCUUGUUUCUUGGUAAUCGAAGGCCACGUCUGCUUCAGGUCUGGCUACUUACAUUCUGCUUUCUUCUUUGCUUCAGGACUGGAGCAGAUGCUGUGAAAUGCAGAAAAUGCCUGUCACCUGGUCCUGGCAAGCCAUGUAAACCAAAUACUUUGACAUGUACGGGGCCAUACUGUGUAAUGACAGAAAGAUUGGCAGGUCCAAAUAAGGAGUUGCAGACCCUCAAAUUUUGUGGCGAAGCUCAGUAUAAAAAAUACUGCGGAACGAAAAAGAAAGAUAACCUUAAAGUACAAUGCUGUGAAACUGACAUGUGUUUUGACUGAUUUUACUGUUCUGUUCUUCUAUUGUUUUAACCCAUCCAGGAACCUCAUGGUAAAGGGUGGGCAGCCAAUCUUUCUCCUUCUCUUUCACUUUCUCCUUGGAAAGACAUAAUAUUAGAAUAUUUCAUAUCCUUUGCUUUUGACGGAUGUCUGGUCUUCCUUCUGCCAUUCCAAUUCAAAUGACAGAGCAAACACAGAAAAGCAACAAAGCCCACCCCGAGACUGUGAUUCUACCACUGCCUCCACUAGUACACCACUGGUGGUAAUAGAAAUAGUAGUAAUAACAAUAACCAUAACACAAUAAUAAUAAUAAUAAAUUGUUCCCCACUCAUCUUAAAUGUGUAGCCCCCUUUUAGGUACCCCCUUCGGCUCAUACUCCUGGUUUGAAAUCCUGCUCUUCAUCAGCCUGCCAAAUGGGCCAAUUGCAGGCUGGUGUGGAGAGGGAACAAUCAGGAUUCCCUCAGGUCUACUCUGGGGGGAUUUAAAACAGCCCACGCCAGCCCCCGAUGUCUAGCAUUCUUCGUUGGAUCAACCGACCCAUUUUGCAUUUACAAAUUGAAUUGACCUUGCAAUGGCUGCGGUGGUCGCUGUAUUGUUGGUACCAGGUAGGAAUUUGCCUACCUGGUGAAUUGGAUAUGACCUGGAGGUUUUGCCUAACCCUGUAGCAAUCAUCACAACUUUGGCGGUUUAGGCAUUGGGUAACCUUAACCUUGGUUGGAGGGGGGGUUGUACCCUGGCCUUCCCCUCCAGAAAUAGGGUAUCCUGUUAAAGGGGUCUGUGAUGGAGUUGCUUCUGUCCAUUUGCCCAGAUGGGGGGAGGGGCUUGGGCCUCAGCGUUCCUAGGGGUAGGGAUCCCUGUGGAGAUCCCCCUAUUUGAUGUAAGUCAUGGGAAUCUCCACUGCCGGGUUGACCCUGAUGUCAUUUCCGGUAGGCAGACUGGAAAUAAAUGCUUACACAAUGCUUAUAGGCAAACUACUUCAUCUGUAGUCAAUAAAGUUGUGGCCUGAUUUGAUCUCAUUCCACUGUGUGGCCUCCUUUAUUGGUAGCUCACUUGAGCGGAGGAAGGCUGCACACCCUGGGCCUGUAGACUCUGGGAAGCCUCCAAGAGAAUAUAAAAAUACAUAAAACCAUCCGACAUUGAAAACUUCUCGAUACAGGACUGCCUUCAAAUGUCUCAAGGUCAGUCCUCAAUUGCCUUGUUAGAGCAUCCCAACCGAAACUCACAGUCAGGAUGGUCAGGGGGGAGGCUGGAGCCACUUCCAUCCAGACUCUCCUAGGUCAUGCCCAUCAGAUUCUUAAUUCAUCUCUUCCUGGAGCUCAUGGGUCCCUGUUCUUCCCAACCCCUCCCUGGUUGUAGAGCUCAAAUGUUCUCAUUUCUCUUUCCUGACCAUUGCCAUGUAAUUGGAACGUAGCAAGGCUUUUAAGUAGUUUGGACUGGAGGGAGUUUUAGGUGGCCAAUCAAGAUAGAGAUCAAUAAUAAUAGUUAGAAUUACUGCUAGUUUUGCAUGCAGAACAAAUGCGAGAAUAAUAGCUUGAAAUAUUUGUUGUACCUUA